CGAACGCUGGCGGCGUGCUUACCACAUGCACGUCGAACGGAAAGGCCCUGCUUUUGUGGGGUGCUCGAGUGGCGAACGGGUGAGUAACACGUGAGUAACCUGCCCUUGACUUUGGGAUAACUUCAGGAAACUGGGGCUAAUACCGGAUAGGAGCUCCUGCUGCAUGGUGGGGGUUGGAAAGUUUCGGCGGUUGGGGAUGGACUCGCGGCUUAUCAGCUUGUUGGUGGGGUAGUGGCUUACCAAGGCUUUGACGGGUAGCCGGCCUGAGAGGGUGACCGGCCACAUUGGGACUGAGAUACGGCCCAGACUCCUACGGGAGGCAGCAGUGGGGAAUAUUGCACAAUGGGCGGAAGCCUGAUGCAGCAACGCCGCGUGCGGGAUGAAGGCCUUCGGGUUGUAAACCGCUUACGCCUGUGACGAAGCGUGAGUGACGGUAAUGGGUAAAGAAGCACCGGCUAACUACGUG
rnacentral:rRNA from 1 species